GGAGCGCGGAUGGCGGAGAGGCGGGCCGGGCUGAGGGGAGCAGCGGGAGCCCCGGAGGCGGAGGCAGAGGCGGCGGGGACGCGGGCCGAGGGACACAGGCCCGCCUCGGAGCGCCCCCGCGCCCGCCGCUCGCUUCCUCCCAAGGCCGAGCCCGCCGGGCCGCGCACCCCCGCCAGAGCCCAGGCCGCCUUGGCGGCGCGUUCUUGAAAUCAUGAAUCCUGUCUACUAUAGCCCUGGAUCUUCUGGGGUUCCCUAUGCAAAUGCCAAAAGAAUUGGUUAUCCAGCUGGUUUCCCCAUGGGCUAUGCUGCAGCAGCUCCUGCAUAUUCUCCUAACAUGUACCCUGGAGCAAAUCCUACCUUCCAAACAGGUUAUACUCCAGGUACACCUUACAAAGUAUCCUGCUCUCCUACCAGAGGAGCUGUGCCGCCCUACUCCUCUUCCCCCAACCCCUACCAGACCGCCGUGUACCCUGUGCGAAGUGCCUACCCCCAGCAGAGCCCGUAUGCUCAGCAGGGCACAUACUACACACAGCCACUGUAUGCAGCACCCCCCCCACGUCAUCCACCACACCACAGUGGUGCAGCCCAGUGGCAUGCCUGCAACAGUGUACCCUGCUCCUAUCCCUCCUCCUGGGGCAAUGGUGUCACCAUGGGCAUGGUUGCUGGGACCACCAUGGCCAUGUCAGCAGGAACCCUGUUGACUGCUCACUCCCCAACUCCGGUUGCCCCUCACCCGGUCACUGUGCCCACAUACCGGGCCCCAGGAACACCCACUUACAGCUAUGUACCCCCUCAGUGGUGAUUACCCUGCAGAUAAAUGUUUGAGGAUGGAGCUGUGCAGUGACAUCAUUGAGGUUCCACAGCUGGUGCUGCAGGCCUUGUGCCUCCAAUCAGGACUUUCUUCUUAAUGCUCUCGACACUUAGCUAAACAUGACUACGUCCCAGCCCAGCAGGUUCCAGCGCCACCGUUAGUCUCCAGCUAACUCUGUGGGUUGGUCUUAAAGCAAAUCCUGUUUUGUGGUCUGCCUGGCAAUU